rnacentral:misc_RNA from 1 species
GAUGAAGAACGUAGCGAAAUGCGAUACGUAAUGUGAAUUGCAGAAUUCAGUGAAUCAUCGAGUCUUUGAACGCACAUUGCGCCCCCUGGUAUUCCGGGGGGCAUGCCUGUCCGAGCGUCAUUGCUGCCCUCAAGCACGGCUUGUGUGUUGGGCCUCCGCCCUCCUCCCGGGGGACGGGCCCGAAAGGCAGCGGCGGCACCGCGUCCGGUCCUCGAGCGUAUGGGGCUUCGUCACCCGCUCUUGUAGGCCCGGUCGGCGCUUGCCGACACAUCAAUCUUUUUUCCAGGUUGACCUCGGAUCAGGUAGGGAUACCCGCUGAACUUAAGCAUAUCAAUAAGCGGAGGA